UACGAAGGGGGGCUAGCGUUGCUCGGAAUUACUGGGCGUAAAGGGCGCGUAGGCGGACAGUUUAGUCAGAGGUGAAAGCCCAGGGCUCAACCUUGGAAAUGCCUUUGAUACUGACUGUCUUGAGUUCGGGAGAGGUGAGUGGAAUGCCGAGUGUAGAGGUGAAAUUCGUAGAUAUUCGGCGGAACACCAGUGGCGAAGGCGACUCACUGGCCCGAUACUGACGCUGAGGCGCGAAAGCGUGGGGAGCAAACAGGG
rnacentral:rRNA from 1 species